rnacentral:rRNA from 1 species
UACGUAGGGUGCAAGCGUUAAUCGGAAUUAUUGGGCGUAAAGCGCGCGCAGGCGGUCUUUUAAGUCUGAUGUGAAAGCCCACGGCUCAACCGUGGAGGGUCAUUGGAAACUGGGGGGCUUGAGUGCAGGAGAGAAGAGUGGAAUUCCACGUGUAGCGGUGAAAUGCGUAGAGAUGUGGAGGAACACCAGUGGCGAAGGCGACUCUUUGGCCUGUAACUGACGCUGAGGCGCGAAAGCGUGGGGAGCAAACAGG